rnacentral:lncRNA from 1 species
UGUGGGAACGAUUGCCUUGCAAGGCAAUUCUUACACAUUGUGGGCUGAUUUCACCUCUGAUAGCUCGUAAUGUUGUCGUUAGAAUACCAUGAUUAUCAAAUUAAUUUUAAAUUUUAAAAUAAUAUUAAAAAUAUAUAGAAAGUAACAAGUCAGGUCGAAUCUAUAGAAAAGAUAGUACUUUGAUUUAAUAACUUUGAUUUUUAU